AUGUAUGGUGCUCAGGACUCAUCAGUUCGUAGCAGACUUGAGCACGUCGUACACCGGCGCCCAGCCCGAGCGCCACUCGUAGAUCCGGAGGUGGCCGUCGUGCUCCAGCCGCAUGUACUGCACCGUGCCUGCCCCGACGGUGGGCAGCUCCAUGGCUGCCAGAGGCGGGGCUGCGGGACGAGCGGAAACCGUGAGACUGCCGUUGGUGUACGUCGCGUAGGCGCCGGGUGCGGUCUCGCUGAGGCCGAGGUGGUAGUAGCGCUGCGGCGGCGUGGCGUUGACGUAGGCAUUCAGUCCAUCGUCGUCGACGGCGAGGUAGAGCCUCCCAUCGCGCCAGUCCGCGGUCGACGCGUUGGCGGUGAGCCGCGCCCCGUGCUUCAGCGACUGCCCGACGAGGAGCGCGUUCGUGGGGUGGUCGAACGACUGCCACACCGUGGCGUUGCGCCCGUCGAACAGCACCAGGUUGCCGUCGCUGCCGAUGCGCGCCCCGGCGACGGACCGGCCCUUGGUGCCGGCCGACCACACGACCGCGCCGUUACUGGACCUGAGCACGAGGUCGCCCUCCGGCGUGAGCUCGGCCGCGGCGCCCUCCCGGACGGGGCUGCCGCGGUUGGCCGACCAGACGACCUGCGGGACGCCGGCCGUGACGAACGUCAUGCCCGCGCCGCUGUUGCAGUACACGACGGCGACGCCGAGAAGGAACUCCGUGCACGGGGCCGCGGGGCCGUUGCCGCGUGGUUGACUGGCGGUGCAGAAGAAGCCGAAGGCGUAGGAGGGGCCGAGGCCGGCCGGGUUGAGACGCAGCAGGGCGGCGCGCGCCACGGAGCCGUCGGUGUAGACGACGUGGUGCGGCAGGGCGGCGUCCGUGUUGGCCCAGGUCGUGGCCAGCCUCGCCGCCGGGUAGUCGAACGGCUGCGCGCGCGCUCCGCCGGCUGCCACGAGGCAGCAGAUCAGCGCAACGAGCGCGAUGAUCGUAGCACGGUGCAUCAUGAUCAUGGGCUGUGA
rnacentral:rRNA from 1 species